rnacentral:lncRNA from 1 species
AUGUUCCACUUUCUUUGAACUUUUCACGUAUAUCUACACCCUUCAUCUUAGGAUUUUCCCUUACUGUUUUCACCAAUUUUUUGCUCAACCACUUGGCAUCAAGUAACUUGAGGUUGAACUCCCUGCUGCAUGUAUGAAUGUCUUUUUUAUUUCUUAGCUACCAUGAUUUUACAGCCUUCAUAUAACCAAAGUAUAUGGUCCAUGGGCAUUCUCCUUUUGCACCAAAGCACUUCAGCCUCAAUCUUCUUUUGUCAUUUUUUACAAACUUUAUAUUCCUACCAUUUUCCAAGGUAUACCCUUUAACAACAUCUAAAAUAUCUUGCUUUUCUGCAAAAAAAGUCCCUACCUCCCAUGUAAAGUCUACCAUAUUCUUUGGCAUAUAAAAAGUACCAAACCUCCCAUAACCUUCACUGUCAUUAACAUCUUCAUCACUAUUUGUAGCACUAAGUAAUUCCUCAUAAUUCCACUCCUCAUCUAAUAAACCUCUAUCAUCUUGAUCAUCACUUUCAACACUCACAUAAUCAUUGUCAUAAAUACUUUGUACUUCUACUUCUACCUCCACAUUACCAUCUAAAGCACCAUCUAUAUCACAUUCAACACUCACAUCUAAUAGCCCCUCUAAGCACUCAUUAUUUCCAUUUACAUCACCUUCAUCAGUAGAUGUACUCCAACUACAAACAUCAACUUCAUCCUCCACAACUCCUUCACACACGUUUAACUCUUGCUCUUCUUCAACCUGAUGCAAAUCUUCUACAUCACCUUCAACAUCUACUUGAACAACAUCACCUUCAACAUCUACUUGAGCAGCAUCACCUUCAACAUCUACUUGAACAACAUCACCUUUAAAAUCUACUUGAACAUCAUCACGAGCUUCUUCACCCUCAUGCACAUUUUCUAAGUCACCAUCACCUUCAACAUGUACUUGAACACCAUCACUAGCUUCUUCCACCUCUUAUAAUUCACCAUCACCUUCACCAUAUACUUCAACAGGAUCACCAUCUUCUUCACCCUCAUACUCCUCUUGUAAGUCACCAUCAACUUCAACACCACCAUUGUGUUCUUCACCCUCUUUUUGUACUUCAUAAUUACCUUCAACUUCAUCAUUACUAAUAUAUUAAAGCAUAUGUAUGACUUCUGGCUCAGAAACAACAUGCACAACGUAUAAAUGAACUUCACCAUUAAGUCUAGCUAAGUUAGCCAUAUGCAUGGCACCGAUGUCAUCAAUUAAUUGUUCCAACCUAUUUUCCAACACUAAACCAC